rnacentral:rRNA from 1 species
CGGAGGAUCCAAGCGUUAUCCGGAAUCAUUGGGUUUAAAGGUCCGUAGGCGGGUUUAUAAGUCAGUGGUGAAAGCCCAUCGCUCAACGAUGGAACGGCCAUUGAUACUGUAGAUCUUGAAUUAUUAGGAAGUAACUAGAAUAUGUAGUGUAGCGGUGAAAUGCUUAGAGAUUACAUGGAAUACCAAUUGCGAAGGCAGGUUACUACUAAUGGAUUGACGCUGAUGGACGAAAGCGUGGGUAGCGAACAGGAUUAGAUACCCUGGUAGUCCACGCCGUAAACGAUGGAUACUAGCUGUUCGGAGCAAUCUGAGUGGCUAAGCGAAAGUGAUAAGUAUCCCACCUGGGGAGUACGUUCGCAAGAAUG